UCGCACGUCUGUCGCAUGUGUAUCGCAAUUGAGAAUCGAGUUUCCUGCGGAUCUACCUACCGCGACGAAACAAGACGAAACCGAUUUGGACACAGGUACGACAAUCGUGCAAUGAGGAGUCGUCGCGAUAUGCGUAUUUCGGCGGACGACGGGUAACAAGACUGAUGACUCGUCGUCAGUGACAAGCGACGGCGGGCCAGCAGUCGACGGGGCAGCAGUCGACGGUCCGGCAGCGGCGAAGGCGGUGGCGUCACAACUACGCUACGCAUUUAGAUGGAUACGGACUGCUCCAGCUCCGAUCUCGCCGCGUGUCUAUCACACCUGUACUUCGCGAGUGUUAUGUACGAUGAUACGGAAUGAAACGAUUGUUGUGUGUUGACUCUCCGCCGUGCGCCGCGCGCCGGGUGACGAAGAUGAGUGAAGGUUACCAUGGGGGCGCUCCGAGUUUAUUUCGCUACGUCGUUCGUUCGCUACGUACGCUCAGUCGUUUCGUGUCCGAUUCUCCUUACAUGUACGGUGUUUUCGUGUGCAUCGUACAUCAGUACCGUGAAUGUUUAAUUGAAAUAGCUAUCGCUCUGAGAUGAUACCGCGCGCGUUAGAUCAUUUUCACACUUUCUUUCGAGGAUGGCGUCAUGGCGAGGAGAUGGCGAUGGCGAGCCUCUCUCGCCGCGAAUUCUGUCCGUUGCUACAUUCAUGUCAUUCGUACGCGGGCGUUCUUGUUUUUGCAGGACGGCGUAAAAGUGAUUCCGCGAAUAAUUGCGUGCUCCGUACGGUCAAUGCAUCGUGCACUAGUUCGCGUGUUAUCAUGGAAUGACUUUUUUUGUACGCGCAGUUCCGAAUUUUCGUGUGUGACAGUAAAUCUUCUGACGAAAUAUCGAUUUUGAUCAUAACCUCGCGCGAUCGUGUGUCCCUUUUGCUACGUGAUGAUGUCGCUUCGCCGGUAGUUUCGUUAACAAAGUGUCGCGCGUUGCUGUGAUAAUUAGCAUGCAAUCAUAAUUGAUCUCUCGUUCGCGAGAAUCGCGAGUUUUGUUUUGUGCUCCAUUGACGGAAUCUGGGAGGAGGCGGAGGCUCGGGAGGAGCAUCAGGCAACGGCGGAACAACCCUGUGGAUGAAUGUAGCUGUGUUACUACUCCGCUUCUGCGCAUUGGUCCGUAUCACCGCAGUUUGUACCGUGGCUGAUUGUGAGUAACUCCGCUCGUUGCGCAUCGGGUCGAUCUUGCGCAGUUGGCGUGCAUCGUACAUCCGAUGGGGGUUUCCCCGAAUCUUUCAGCAAAUUCAAGCUAAUCGGUUAAUAAAGAGUAAUUUGUUACCGGGAGUAAGACGCGCCACACGAUUACGUAAUAAUCGAGUAAAUGAUUACGUCAUCAGAUAUCUUAUUUGUCGAUAUGCUCUGGCAGUUCGUGGAACAGAUAUCCGGUAUCGAGCGGAAAUUGGAGCCUUAGGAUAAGGAUGUGAUACACGAACGAGAGAAGCUGCCGUGCAAUUCCCUGAUUGCAGAUUUCUGACAGAACAGCAAAGUUUCAGACGCAAUGACGGCGAAGAGGGUAAGUGAGAUGUUAAGUUUAUUAAGAUGGUUGGCACGCUUCCCAUGAUGUGACGCAAUAUCUCGAGCAUAGAAAUGAAGAUGCGGCAUUGAUGCGUUACACGGAGAGAAAAAUUGCUAGAAGUAUCUAAGAAUUUGCUAGAUACAAAUUGAAAAAUACCUUUCUAAAAAUACGAAAUUGAAUAAUUAUGAGAAAUGAAUUUAAAAAAAAUAGAAUUAUGCAUACUGAUGAGUUCAUGAUCCAUUGUCAUUACGUUCCAUCGCACAUUUCGAUAAUCGUUUUGCUGGACGUCUUUGCGUCUAUGUUUCGACAUAAACCUUGCUGUAUUCACUACGCAAGUUACCAUGUCAAACAUGAUCAUGCUCGGAACCUAACCGUGGCUCGUCCCACACACGAUUGCGUUCGCACUCAAUAGGGUCACCAUAUCAGUGGGUCGUGUGCCACCAUGGUGCAGGGACAGUAGUUCACCCCCGCGUGCUGCACCCUCUGAUAAUAGCAUUAUGAUUCGCCUGAUUGUGGAAAUAAACACGGGAUCGCUCAGGGUGCAAGGUAUACAUUUACAUAUACAUGUAUACACACAUAUACAUACAUACAUAUAU